CGAGUUUGAUCCUGGCUCAGAACGAACGCUGGCGGCAGGCUUAACACAUGCAAGUCGAACGCCCCGCAAGGGGGAGUGGCAGACGGGUGAGUAACGCGUGGGAAUCUACCCAUCUCUACGGAAUAACUCAGGGAAACUUGUGCUAAUACCGUAUACGCCCUUUGGGGGAAAGGAUUUAUCGGAGAUGGAUGAGCCCGCGUUGGAUUAGCUAGUUGGUGGGGUAAAGGCCUACCAAGGCGACGAUCCAUAGCUGGUCUGAGAGGAUGAUCAGCCACACUGGGACUGAGACACGGCCCAGACUCCUACGGGAGGCAGCAGUGGGGAAUAUUGGACAAUGGGCGCAAGCCUGAUCCAGCCAUGCCGCGUGAGUGAUGAAGGCCCUAGGGUUGUAAAGCUCUUUCACCGGUGAAGAUAAUGACGGUAACCGGAGAAGAAGCCCGGCUAACUUCGUG
rnacentral:rRNA from 1 species